rnacentral:misc_RNA from 1 species
UUUAUUUCAAACGAAGCAUUCCUCUCCGCCAAAGAAGGGUACCCACCAAAUGCAGAACCCCUAUGAGGUUCAGUCUUCAUGGGAAUUUGCUCGUGGAAAUAAGUUAAAUGCUGAAGCCCGGGUGACACUGACGGGACUCUAGGCAUACGCGCUAUUGCUUGAUCCACAGGAACGUAGCAUACAGGACAUGGUCGAGGCCCAAUUCGCCUCCUAUCACCAGGUGGAGGAGGAGGAAAUGCAAAAUUUCG